GGAAGCAGCAGCAAGGGGACUUCUCCGGCUGCACGACGCCCACUGGCGGGCUGGACGCCCGAGAUCCCUUUGAUCUGCACCAACUCGACGCGAGGAUGCUGCAGCAUUCGAACAGCGCCAACGAGCUGCUCUUGCGCCGGAAGCUGGAGGAGGAGCAGCAGGCUGCCGAACUUCAGCACGCCAUUGAGCUCCAGAGCCGCCGCCUCAUGGGUCUCCAGCUGCUCGACCUCAAGGCUCGCGCAGCUGCGACAGCAGCAGCGGCAUCGGCACUGCCAACACCAGUUGCCAAUGCCUUCGCGUCCAGCCAUCCUUUGAGCACCAUGGCAGUUGAGUCGCCACUAGAGUCCGGUAUGUGUCGUGGAGGAGGAGCACGCGUUCGUUGGUCACUUCGGUAAACCAAACCAUAUCUCAAAUAUUACUGAUCAAUGUGAUUCCUUGGCCGCUGACAGGAGAGCAGCUCAAGCAAAGAUGCUGGACAGCAAGAGCUUGGUCCAUCCAUAACACCAUUAGGGCUUCGGUUGGAGUAUAUGAUAUGUGAAGCAUCAAAGAAGUCAUCUCAGCUUGUUGAUUUCCUUGUGCAGAAUAGUGGGAAGAAAAUAAUGGUGCAAGUACAUGAUGACCUGAAAUUUAUGUUUGGCUACUUAUUCUUAGUUGUAUGUAGCAUUGUGCUAACUUUUGAAUCUUCCUAUCGUGAUUAAUUGCCGAUAUUUUGCAACAUGUGAUUGUGUAGAUUACUGGGUUGUUGUUCUUCCACUAAUUAACUCGCUUAAAGGUUCUCCAAUAAUUGCUUACCAUGGGAAGAUGAAACAGAGCCUUCGAGAGAAAGCUUUGGCAUCAUUUUCUGCUCUUUCAAGUUGCUUUUAUUAGUCAAUCACAAGGGCACCUUCAUUGUAUCAGUGAAUUGGUUAAAGGUAGCGAUUUCAGCUUCCCUGGUCUAUCCAUCUGGGUUCUCGAGGACUACGACUAA